GCUCUCGUGGUGUAGUGGCUAUCAUACUUUCUUAGGGUCCAGAUCAUGGUCUCUAAUCCUCCUUCGGAUUCGUCUCCGCAUCUCUAGCUAUGGAAGUGGUCCUGGGUUCAAAUCCCGGCGAGGGCC
rnacentral:tRNA from 1 species